CGGAGAGCAAGGGGCAGUAGAUCUCGGAGCUCAGAUCUGCAAGCGCAGAGCUAUUUUUUCUCUUCUAAGCGUUGAUCUAAUCUAGCGGUUUCCCUUCCACUCACUCGGCUUCUGAUCAGAAGAUGAUGAGCAUCCUGUCUUGUUUUUUGCUUCGAUCUUUUGUUAUUCAGAUGAGUGCCAGUUCGGUAAAGAAGAAUCCUUUUUCCUGGAGAUUUAACUACUCGAUCUAAACGAUAUCAAUAUUUGGCUAUUAUACUGUUCGAUCCCGGUCAUAUUCUGGAGUUCGACGCCAAAUACGGAUUUGUUUUGUAUGCUUCUCUCGACCUCGCUGGCAUGUCCUCCUCUAUGUUUGAUUCUUGCAUGAAUCUAAGUAACUGCUGAUGCAAUGUAUUUUGGUCUUGUAGAUGAAGGAUGAUGGCAAGAUUUUGUUUGAGCUUGUUGCAUUGACAACGAGAGAGAGCACGCUGGUUGGCGGCCAUGAACGCGGUCAUGACGGUUUACUUGCGUGCUCCCUCUCGCUGUCAUCCACUUCGCUCUACAAAAUGGCUGCCAUGAAAUGUCAGUGGAGCUGUGGUUUUUAGUAGGAGAUUCUACUUUCUAAGAGCACCAAGAGCACAAGAUGACAUAAAAGGUUCAACUCCAGGGCUCAAUCCAGAAAGUUGUAGCUGAGCAUUGAGGCACAUCACAAGGAGCCAAUUGAAGACCCCAACCUAGUGAAUUUCUUAUUGAUUUGUUUUAUUUAAUCGUUAUUUGGAUGUUGUGUAUGUGCUAGAACUUGAUGUAGCGUAUGUGUAAUUGUAGAAAAUUUAGGUUUUAAGACUUUGAAACUUAAAAUUUAAAUGAUAUUUAGGCAUCGAUAUGUUAAAAAUGAGAUAUAUUAUAAUUAAUUAUUUAAUUAAUUAUAAUAUUUACAAAAGGAGGGCCGGCCAUGGAGUUUAGAGGAAGUUAUUCUAUGUGGUGGUUACCCUUGGGAGGGGGUUUCAUAUAGUUACAUGUGAGGUUGACCACUGUAACUCUUCCCUCCCUUGAUAAUUCGAAUUAAGUUUGUAAACACUUAUAAAGUGUAUGCAUUUCUAGAAUGAAAGUUUAGAAAUAUUUGUUGACAAAUUUUUGGAUUUCAAGAAAUUAAUGGCAAGACUUGGCGGUCAACCACAAAAGGGAAAACUCCAAAAACCGGCGGUUAGCAUGGCUAAACUAGCGGUUUUUUUAUCACUGGCGGUUCUCGGCGGCAUAAAGGCCGCCAGUAAAAAUCGCAUAGGAAAUCCUUAUCGGCGGCCUUUUACCGGCGGUUUUUUUAGCCGGCGGUUUUCCAGCGGUACACACCGCCGGUGACGACCGGAUUUGUAACCGGCGGCGUUCCGACCGUUAAGCCGCCGGUUAAUUUACCGACGGCUAACCGGCGGUCACCUUACCGACGGUAAGCCGGCGGUUAAUGCUGGCGUCGUGUGUUCGCUAAACCGCCGGUAAGCGCAGGUACACCACCGUUACCAUUACUGGCAGUAACCGGCGGUCAAAGCCGACGGUGUACACCACCGGACUUCCGCCGUAACAUCGCCGGUGGCCGUCGGUAACCGCCGGUGUAAUAACGUUACCGGCGGCUUAGCUUUGGCCGUCCGGUAUCGUCGUUUCCGGCGGCCAAACCGCCGGUUGGCCGCCGGAAACCUGUAGCACUUGAAAAAAAAAAUUGACUGCAUUCCCUCUAUUUGAGAAACUAAAGUCGGAAACCUGUAGCACCUCAAAUUGAGGGAAUACUGUCAAUUUUUUUUUCACCUGUAGCACCUGAAAAAAAAAAUUCACCCUAAAGUCUAAACCUGCAGAAAGAGCAAUACAUAAUAAGAUAUUUUGGGCAACACGCCGCUAUAUUCAUCAGAACUAUAAACAUAACCACAAAUCAAAUUAAUAAAUAAGUUUACAAUCAAACAUUAAGAAGUUCCAAAUAAGUUCAUCAAACAUAAAACUAGUUCACAAAGUUCUAAAUUCAAUAAGGUUACAAUCACAAGUUCUAAAUACAAUCAUCAAAUAUAAAAAAGAUCUAAUCCUCAGCUGUAUCCUCACUGUCUGCAGAUGGCUGCUCCUCUUGCUCCUUCUUCCUUUGAUUUUCAGCUCUGUAGGAUUGCAGCUCUGCUUGAAAAAUGUGAUUAGAUUUUAAUGGUCGGAGGUAUGUAAAUAUUAUUUAUGAAUUAAAUUUCGCAUAUUUUGUUUAAUCAAUUUCUUAUAUCAUAAAGUUCUCUCUAUAAAAUUAAUAUUUUUGAAUUUGAGAAACUUUUGUAGAAUCAACAUUAGGUUUUCUUAAAAGAAGUGGUCGUUAUAAUUUGGAUGAUGGUGUUGAUUGCAAUAAGGACUUGAGAUCUCUCAAAUGGGUUAAGAAUAAUAUGAACCCUAAGGUUGGACAAUAUAUAUAGAUACAAAAUAGUGAAGAAAAAGGAAAAUAAAUUAAUAUCCACAAUGAAUGCUAAUUCAGUACAGGAAAAACACCGCCGUUACCAUUACCUUCAAAUCCCAGUUUUUCUUCAACUCACACGAAAAAUAGGGCAACCGGUUUGAGAUUGAGGGCGGCAAGAUAGCGGCCGGUGUGGGGUCAGCGGUCGGAGAGCGGUCGUUGGCGGCAAGACCGUGCGCACGAUCGAGCGAGACGGGCGGAGGCGACGGCAGAGCUCGUGCGAAGAGAGAGAAGGAAAGAUUAGAAAUGAAAUGCGAGGCUCGGGCCCGUUCAUUUUAGGGCAUUUACCGGCGGUCUACCGGCGGUCCUGACUGCCGGUAAGUUCAUCACUUAUCAACGGCGGUAUAGGCCGCCGGUAAACCGCCGGUACGAUUGACAGCCGGCGGUUGCACCGACGGUUACAAGACCGUCGCUAAUACCAGCGGUCGGUCGUUACGAAACCCCCGGGUAGGCCGCCGGUAUUAGCCGACGGUCAUACCGCCGGGCGAACCGCCGGUAAACGGUGUUUUUCCUGUAGUGUUGUGAGUUGAUUAAUUUUGUAUCUUUGUAUUCUACUGAAAUAUUUUGUUGUAAUAUUAUUUAGCAAUAUCCCUACUAUGUUUAAAAAACAUUUCCAUAAAAAAUUUCACUUAGAUCCAUCUAUAGUGGUUGGCCAAUCCUAGCCUGAAAUAUGACAUUGUGUGAUUUUAGUUGGAAAUUAGAGAUCUUAAACCCCAUAAAAUUUUUUGAAGAACUCCAAAUCUAUUCUUAAAACAUACCCCUUUCUCCUCCAAGUGUUAAAUAUUGUGUUUCUAAUGUGUAAACCCUAGUCCUAGAAAAUUCGUCAAACUUCAGCUUUUCUGAAACCUACUACUUCCUAAUUCUAAAGCAAUUAUGCAGACCUUUCAAAAAAUUGUGGAACUUUCCAUAUCACAUCUUGACACUCUUCCCUAACUAAUUAAAUUAAUUUUAUAAUUUUUGGAUAAGUAUUCAUGAUUUUCUAGACAUUUGAAUUUAGCCUAGGAUUUUUUCCCCCAAACCCUAGCUUGACCUCUAUUGCUCUCCAACCUUCAUCCCACCAAGAAAUUAACUCUAACAACAUAUUUAUAAUCUAUUAAGUCUCUUGUGAUGGUUUAGCAACCAAUUUCAAAUUAUCCCCCAUUAUCCUUUCACUUGAUAUCAAAGCAAGUUUCUUUAUGUUCUUAUUCUCACUAGCGACUUGCAAUCUCUCUGUCUACCUAUUUAGAGCUUGUCAUUAUUGGUCUAUCUCAAGAAUGUUGGUUUCCACUUGAUAAAAUUUAAAGAAGAUCUACCUAUUGCCUUCUAUCACCUUCCACUCAAUUCUAGAGUCAUCCUUCUAUUGACCACAUCAACUCCGUUGUUGAUUGCCCCAUGUUCUACUAGUUUGUACCUCAUUAAUGUAGUUGUUAACCAGUAUAGACAAAUUCUAGUUACACAUCCUAUGGCUACUAUUCUGGAUGGAUCCAAUUAUAUUCUUGAGAGUUAAGAAAUGUAGAGUUUUGGUGUAAGCACACGGAGCAUAGGAUGACAUAAAAGGUCAAACAAACUAGUACUCAAUCCAUAAAAGUUGCAGUCGAGGAGGACCCAUCACAAGGAGCCUAUUGAACACCCUAACCUAGGAAAUUAUGUAUUUAUUUUUAUUUGAUUGUUAUUUGGACUUUAUGUAUGUGUCAAAACUUUAUGCAUUGCAUUUGUAAUUGUAUAAAUUUUUGAUUUUAAGUCUUUGAAAUUUAAUUUUUAAAUGAUAUGAGGGUAUUGAUAUGUUUAAAAUGAGAUAAUACAAAUAAUUAUUUAAUUAAUUAUAAUAUUUACAAAAGGAGGGCCAACCAUGGAGGUUAGAGGAAAUUACUCUAUUGGUGGUUACACCUUUGGGAGGAGGUUACAUGUGAGGCUGGCCAUUAUAACUCUUUCUUUAUAAUUCGAAUUAAGUCAUGUUCAAAAAAUUUUUCUUGAUUAGUGUGAUAUAGUUUUCCCUAGAUGUUAGAAAAAGUUUUGCUGAUAGCAAGAGCUAUUAUUUUUUUAAUAUUUAUUCUUUUUUUUUUUGUGUUUAUCUUUUUGUUUUGCUCGAGGGAAGAGCCAAAAUCUAAUUAUGAGGGUAUUUGAUAAGUUAUAUUUUAGUAACUUUUCCCCUAAUUAAAUCUUGACAUUUUACAAAUUUUUUGCUUAAUUCCUAAGAAUCCACUGCAACAAUUCAAAAAUAUGAAGAGAAACACCUAUUUUGUGGAUUUAUGUGAAGUGAAGAAGAAGUGAGUUUAGAGUUGUCUGAACAGAUGAUAGUGCAUCUAGAGCUAUUAAAGGGCUUGGGCGCUUGGGCUCCUAGAACUGGCAACCAAGUGCUAGACAUGGUGUCCAUCUUAGCACCCAAGUGUCAAAACCAAAUGGAUCUUGAGUUUUUUUUAUCAAGGGUGCAUGGGAGCCCAGGCACUCAAGUCUAGUUAUAGGCCUAAUAUGGUGCCUAAGCGCCCAAUUUGGGCACCCAAGCACUCAACAUGGCACCUCACACUAUAUUGAGAUUUUGACGAGCCAAAACUUAUAAUUAUUUUUUGGAGAAUCAUUGUAUGUUAAUAGGCACUACACAAUAUUGUAUUUGUUUUCCUCAGUAUUUUGAUAGUUAUUACUUUUAAUGUUAGCACGAUUCAUGCAUAUUAGAUUAAAAUAAUUGAUUGAUUCUAUAACUUGCACCAAUUUUUUUACACAUUAAUUCAUAUGAAUUGUUUGCUCAUGAUGUACCAUAUGAUUUUUGUGAACUGUGAAUAUAU